AGACUUUGAAAUUUAACUAAAAAAAUCCCCCAAAGUUAAAAGAAAUUUAGAGACAACCUUUCAUAUUUUGUAAUCUGUUUUGCAUCUAACAAUAGAUCUAUUUCUGCAGAUAAACAAGUUAAAAGAGAUUUCGGUUAUGAGCUACGGAAAUCCUAAAUACAAACAAGUUCACAUGAAAAUUUAGAUAAAGCAACAAACCUUAACAGGAGCAUCAGCAAUACGGUAAGCAUCAGCCGUCGUACCAACCAACCAUAACCCAGGGAAAACAUUCUAAAAAGUCCAAAAAGAAAAAAAGAAAAGAAGAUAGAUUAAAUGAUUAUCAGAAAAUUAAUGAAAAACGAAAACCCAGAAAUAUUAAUCCUUACAUCAAGCUGUUUCUGAAUAUUCUUUGGCCUUUUCUUGGGCCUUCUUGCAGGUCUUGAUCCUGUUAUAAAAAGAUGUCUUCCUCAAUCUCUUCCUUUGAUAAAGCUAUCCAGAACUUCCUUUUUUCUUUCUUUUCCGCAACUCCCCCAUUUUCAGCGAAACCCCUUAAUCUCAUCGACUUCGGCCCCACCGUUUCACUCGUCUUUUCCGCCGCCGAUGUCACUACCGCCGCCGACGUCUCCAUCACCACUUUUCUAGGUCUCAAAUUCCAUGGUCUCUGCACAGUCUCCUCCUCAUCUUCUUCAGCUUCAUUUUCUCGCGGCUUUGACGACUCUUCUUCCCGUUGCUGUCGUUGUUCUUCUUCGCGGUGGCUUUGCUUUUUGAUGGCUUUCGGGUGGUGGAGGAAAGGAUGAGCGGUGAAUGCGGGUGGAGCGUGACCCAACACGCGUCGGACGAAGACGGUCGUGGUCCGAGUCGGAUUCAGGAGAACGGCUGUGAUCGGCGGUGGCAGCGGAUGAACUACCACCUCCAUGGGUCCCCCAUUUAAGAAACGGAAAGUUGAAGUUGUGUAAAGGCUGAGACUUUAUCGGUGCAGUAGCCAUAAAAAAAUAACAAAACAAGAGCGAACAAAGAAACAACUGCACAUAAACGACCAACACUUCUUAAAAGAUGAGAAAUUGAGAAAGAAAACAAAGCGCGGUGGAGGAAGUGGCGGAGCAAGGAAGAGCAACCCUGAAAGAUGAGAAGGAAGAAGAAAGAAAUAUCAAAUAUGUUCGUUGAAGAAAUAAACUUUAUUUUUUUUCGUAGGUCACUUAUACAAAAGCGAGAUCACC
rnacentral:lncRNA from 1 species